GGAAUUGACGGGGCCCGCACAAGCGGUGGAGUAUGUGGUUUAAUUCGAUGCAACGCGAAGAACUUACCUGGUCUUGACAUCCCGGAGACCCUUAGGAAACUAGGGGGUGCUUCCAUCUGGAAGAAUCUGGAGACAGGUGCUGCAUGGCUGUCGUCAGCUCGUGUCGUGAGAUGUUGGGUUAAGUCCCGCAACGAGCGCAACCCUUGCCUUUAGUUGCCAGCAGUUCGGCUGGGCACUCUAAAGGGACUGCCGGUGUUAAACCGGAGGAAGGUGGGGAUGACGUCAAGUCCUCAUGGCCUUUAUGACCAGGGCUACACACGUACUACAAUGGCCGAUACAAAGGGCAGCGACACUGCGAGGUGAAGCCAAUCCCGUAAAAUCGGUCUCAGUCCGGAUUGGAGUCUGCAACUCGACUCCAUGAAGUUGGAAUCGCUAGUAAUCGUGGAUCAGCAUGCCACGGUGAAUACGUUCCCGGGCCUU
rnacentral:rRNA from 1 species